AAAAAAUCCUUACAGGCUACAAAAGGUCAGAAUAUUCUAGAAAGCAAAUCUGAAGGAACAUGACCAUCUGUUCAGUUUAAAUCUUCACUGAGCUGAGCAAACAGAAGAAUAAUCCUGCAGAUGGAGAAAUGCUGCACAUCACAAGGUCCGUAUCAUAGCAGUGUGAGGUUAGCUUCCCCAGGUCCAGUUCCCAUACACCAUCCAUUACUCUGCUCUGUUUAUCAGAAAAAUGUGCCACCAAGCAAUCAAUACAUUUUCCAAGUGAACAAAACAGGACAGAAACCUCCCAGCUCUUCCUUAGCAAUAAGCCAUGCUGAGUGUUCCUCCCCACACAGGGCUGACCUCACCACACUGCUGUGACCCCAGCCUGAGCAGAGGGAGACAGAGCAGAAAGGAAUUGACCACAGCUGCUGCAAGGACAGGCUGAGUGUGGAGAUUCACAGCUGGAGAACAAUUUGCCUCAGGAAGAAUCACACCUUGAGUCUCACUCAUAUUUGAUUUACCUGAGACUUUUGAUUUUAGACUUUUGAGUUGAUUCCGGAAGGAGUUAAGACUUUUGGGGCUAUUGGAAUGAAAUGAAUGCAUUUUGUAUGUGAGAAGGACAUAAGUUUUGGGGAGGGUAUGGAGCAGAACGCUAUGGUUUGGAUGUAUCCUCUCCAAAAUUCAGAUGUUACCAGUGUGCUGACAUUAAGAGAUGGGACCUUUAAGAGGUGAUUACGCCAUGAGGGCUCCUUCCUAAUAAGGAAUGAAUACAUAAAUGGGAUAAAUAAAUUAAUGAGAUUAAGGCUCUUAAAAAAGAGCCUUCAUGCUGCACUUGGCUAGCUUGCUGUCUUGCCUUUCUGCCUUCUGCCAUGAGAUGACACAGCAGAGGGCCCUCACCCGAUGGUGGCAACUUGAUCUUGGACUUCCCAGUCUUCAGAACUGUGACA
rnacentral:lncRNA from 1 species